rnacentral:rRNA from 1 species
AUUGAACGCUGGCGGCAGGCCUAACACAUGCAAGUCGAGCGGAUGAAGGGAGCUUGCUCCUGUAUUCAGCGGCGGACGGGUGAGUAAUUCCUAGGAAUCUGCCUUGUCUUUGGGGAUAACGUCCGUAAACGGGCGCUAAUACCGCAUACGUCCUGAUGUAGAAAGUGGUGGAUCUUCGGACCUCACGCUAUCUGAUGAGCCUAGGUCGGAUUAGCUAGUUGGUGGGGUAAAGGCCUACCAAGGCGACGAUCCGUAACUGGUCUGAGAGGAUGAUCAGUCACACUGGAACUGAGACACGGUCCAGACUCCUACGGGAGGCAGCAGUGGGGAAUAUUGGACAAUGGGCGAAAGCCUGAUCCAGCAAUGCCGCGUGUGUGAAGAAGGUCUUCGGAUUGUAAAGCACUUUAAGUUGGGAGGAAGGGAAGUAAGAUAAUACCUUGCUGUUUUGACGUUACCAACAGAAUAAGCACCGGCUAACUUCGUG